GGGUGUGUGUGUGUGUGGGGGGGGGGUGAUGAGGAUUCACCUUCAGGUGGUGGUUUGAAAAAGUCCCAUCCCUCCCUCGUUCGUCCACAGUGUGGUGAGGUGAGUUAGUGCCCACUGGGGACACUCCUCCAGGUUCUGUCCACAGUCCCACUCAUGAAGCUCCGCCCACGUCACUGCGGUCUGGACUUUGUUGUAUUCACACGCUCUGACUCCUGUAAAGUCCAUCACAACGCAUUCGCUUCCCAAUUUACACAAAAACAACUGAUUGUACAAAAAGAAUCCUUGACCUUUUUUUUUUUUUUUUUUUUUACUUUAAAGCUGCACAUGUUUUAUUUGCAUAAUGAAUUAGAUCAAAUAAUAAAACAGUGAUGAACCCAAAGCAGACUUCUAAUCUCAUUCUGCCAUCCUCGGCUUCACAGAGCAGGUUUUUAGCCUGUUUUUUUUUUUUUGCUUUUAACUCCGUUCCGUUUGUUGUCGGCCUUAACUUUGAUGCUGUGACUCCUGCACACCGGGAGUCACAGCAGGCGGUUGUUUUUGGCAAAAAAAUAAAAACAGUUUUUCAAAAGGGGCUGCGGUAAUCCCGCCGUACACUACCUGCUCGGCGCCAAAAUCGUACAUUGGUAGGCGUCGAGCGGAGAACCGGCCAAAUCCACCCAGAAGCGCAGGAAACAGUGACUUCAGUUCACUGUCAGACUGAAUACGUCGUUAAAUGAGUCUCAUCUGUUUGUGGUCGACGCUCAGAUACGCGGCUCUGAGUCAGAAUUAAAGCGUUUUACGAUAAAAACAGAAGUUGGAGCAGCUUUAAAGGCAGAGGUCUGGAAACGAUGCGAUGUGAAUACAACAAAAACAGUUAAAGAUGCAGGUUUUUAAAGGCGCUGUGGGGACUGUGUGUUGAUUUCAGGUGGUUUUU